GUUAGUGAGGGCAGAUUCCUCUGGCGCCUUCCAACCCCAGUAAUAAUCCCUACUCACUACUCCACGCCAGAGUCUGGUAUGCCAGACAGGUGCUCAGUAACCGGGCUCACAGAGAAAUUCCUAUUUUAGCAGGAGAAAGAGAGAGCUGCAUUGGGGACUUGAACCGUGGCUUCUAAUGUGCAGAAGCAGAGGGAAAUGGAAGAGAGGACAUCAGUAAAACACCUGGAGACGGGAGCUUGAAGCAGACAGCAAAAGUUUUGGCAUCCGGAACAAGAAUGAAAAUAUAUUCCAGAACAGAGUGCAAUGGAGAGAUGUUGUAGAAUAAGUUAGUUUCCCAACUUCGUCUCCCAUGGUGUAUUUCUGAACAAGGUCAAGGUAAAGGUCAAUGUAAUCAGAAUGUUCUGCUUUUUUUUCUACCCAAAUGGCCAUUGGUAUUUCCGAACUGCCACAGGGAAGCUUCAGUACACCCUGGUCCUAAAAACACAUGAAGGGAUUACUGUAGCCUCCUGAGUUUUGGGGAGAGUAAGAAGUUUAGAGUUUGGGCACCACAGUCCUUGAAAGUUGUUUCAAGGGCCUGGCUUUGGCUGACUUUAAGAGGGAAGGGAUUGCAACUUACCUUUUCAGUUGGCAACAGAUCCCAGGCCCAUAAGCGCUGGCAAGCCAAUUUUAGUUCUGGAAUCAGGUGGUAGAGGAAAGAGUCAUUUUUAGCCUACUGCAUACUAGCAACUGAAAGUACUCUUACUUAAAUUCUGACAUCGGACUAUUCACAAAACGUAGUUCGACCAUCAUGCACACAAAUCAAUGACAACUGUGUAAAUGUGUCUAGUCCUAUCUAUAUCUUCCCCUCAAACCCUUCAUAAAAACCUUUCAGAAAUCAAAAUGAAAGAAGUUUCGGAAGUAUGUGGCUUUUAUCCUCACUCCCCAUCUCACCAUCUGUAUAAACAGCUAGAGGCUAUAGGCCAAGACUGCAGGAGCUCCAGAAGGUCGAUUGAGCAUCAAUAGCAACCAGAUGACUAGCACUUUGGUCCAGGGAAGACGACUGCAGAGUGCUCCUCAAUCAAGUUGAUAGAUCACACAAACAUAUGGAACUGAUGCUCAUUUAUAGGUAUUUGGGCUACUAUUCUAGAGUUGUUGGGAAAGUUGUAAAUGAGAAUAUGAGCAUUGUAAAAAAAAUAUUGGUUCAUGGCAGAGGGUUUGAAAUUGUUUCUAAAAAAUGCACUGUCCUAUAAUAGAGCAAGAGUUACCAUGGCAAUUAUACAACUUGUGGUCCACAAUAUCCAGUGCUUAAUUUGUAAAUCAGGAGGUGCCGGAACAGAAAGUGAGCGUGAGUGGGGUGAGACCUGGGGAGCUCUGAGCUACCAGAGCGCUUGAGAAAAAAAGUACCUUUAUAAUUAAUCAUUGCAUGCAUAUCAUUACAUUUGCAUAGUGGCAUAGAGCAGUAGAGUAGAGGCACUUACAGAAGUUGCACACAUGGGGAGAAUUUUGAGUAGCCUAGGAUCCGGGAAAAAUUUCAUUCAAUUCUACUUUUAAUACCACACUUAUUAUCGAAAUAACAGGCUACACUGUCAAACUGACAA